rfam:Aquamicrobium defluvii strain W13Z1 genomic scaffold V9__scaffold_01, whole genome shotgun sequence.
CCGUGGGCCACCCCUCCCCAACGAGGGGCUACCUAUCUGGAAGGAUAGACCAU